AGAUAGCGCGUGACUUCAUCCUCCGUUUACCGACUCAGAUUUUCCACGUUCAGAGUAUUUACGAUAUUGCCACCGCUCUCUUUUCCUUCUCGCUGUUCUGUUUUAUUCCGAUACAAUUUCUUCUCCCAUUUCCUUCUCUCGUUAUCUUCUUUUUUCUCUCUCCUUUUUUCCGUUGACAUGUCUUCUGCCGGCGGCGACGGUACCUCCGGCGAGUCUCGCCAAUACUUCUGUCACCAGUGCAAUCGCACCGUCUCUGUUACCCCUUCCCCUUCCUCCGAUCUCGUCUGCCCCAAUUGCAACGGCGGCUUCCUCGAAGAACUCGAAAUCCCUAACCCUAACCCUAUCCCUAUCCCGUCCAAUCCUUUCUUCCCCGACUUCCCCCUCGCCGGGGCCACCGCCAUUCCCCUCAUCUUCCCGGGAGGAGCCGGCCAGCCCUUCGACGAUUUCUCCACCCUCUCCGGCACUCGAUCUGACGCCGCCACCGCCGAUACUGCCCUCGCCCCCUUUGUCCUCCUCCAGAACUACUUGCAAACCCUAAGAGCCGCCGGCGGCGGUGGAAACCUUCAACUGGUGAUUGAGUCCGGGGAUCCCGGCGGAGCGUUCCGGUUUCCUGGCAUCACCCACGGCGACUACUUCUUCGGGACGGGCCUUGAGGAGCUGAUCCAGCACCUUGCCGAGAACGAUCCGAACCGCUAUGGCACCCCACCGGCUUCUAAGAAGGCGGUGGAGGGGCUGCCGGACGUCUCGGUCACCGACGAGCUGCUUGCAUCGGAUUCGUCGCAAUGUGCAGUGUGCAAAGACACGUUCGAACUCGGUGAAACCGCGAAGCAGAUGCCCUGUAAGCAUAUAUAUCACGCGGACUGCAUUUUGCCUUGGUUAGAAUUGCAUAAUUCCUGUCCCGUUUGUCGGUAUGAGCUGCCCACAGAUGAUCCUGAUUACGAGCAGAGGGCUCAUCGUGGUAGCGGUGGCGGAAGUGGAGGCGGUAGUGGUGGUACCGGCAGUGGGGUGGCUCCCCAGGUGAAUUGGAACCUGGCUGUGGGGCCUGGUGGCUCUGCUGAUUCGGCUGGUGGAGACAAUUCCCAGCGGAGGAGGUUUAGGGUGUCUUUGCCGUGGCCCUUCAGGCAAUCUUUUUCUUCUGGUGCUGAGACAAGUAAUGUGGGCGGUGCCAACAAUGAUGACAACAGUAAUAUCAAUAGUGGGGAAAACAAUAGUGGGCAAUCAAAUUCUGGAAACAGGGGAAAUCAGAAUUUUGAGUCGGAGACCAGACAGGAAGAUCUAGAUUGAGAGGCACUCGUGUUUGAUAUUUUCCCGCUAAAACUUUCUCAUGGGGGAGGGGAUGGAAAUCCAAGAUUCCCGUGAAGGGGUAAAGUGCUUUUAUACAAUUUGCAUCAGGUAAUAAGGGUUUAAAAUAGAGCGGUGUGGAGUUGCCCCUAUCCACCACCAUAGGAACUGCUGUAGCAUAGCAGUUUAGUGUGGCAGUCAUGGCAGGCCUCAGCAGGUGGUAUGUGGAGUUUUUCAAAUUUGCAGCAUUUGUUGAAUAGAAAUGAUGUUAAAUAUCAAUUAGUGGUUCGUGACAGUUGAAAAUGUUAUAUUGGAUUAUAAUGAACUUGCGCAACUGUCCAUCACCAUUUUUUGAGUUCUUUCUAUAACUAGAUCAAUACCUGUCCCGAUGCACAGGCAGAAAAAGAAAAUUAAAACAGUGGCCCGUACUUUUAUCAAGAGUGUGUGUAUAAGUAAUAAAAAAAUUACGCAAAAGAUGUGUAGGUCCAUAAUGCACAAAAAACCAACACGUGGAUGAGUAGAGAGGUGGUUGGAUAGAAUUUAUGAUACUGCUACUAUUGAUGAUAUGUACAUUACUAUUGGUUCAAUAUUUUCUGAAUUUUUGUUUUUUA